rnacentral:lncRNA from 1 species
CGUGCCGAGAUGAGUACGUAAACAUGUAAUGGGCUCAAAUCAGAGUUUUAACGAAGAAGUUAUAAUCAAAAGAAGCUUAGUGGCAAAACCGUAAAUUUUUCAAAAUGGGUUUUUUAAAUGAGAUUUUUCCUCUUCCGUUCCCCUCUCUCUCCCUCCCCUUCUCCCAUGCUUACGAGCGAUCGUACCCCCUCCCCCGAUUAGAUUUUCCUUUGUCGCAUCCACGUCCAACCACUGUUGACGACGGGACCGGUCCCAAACAAACCGGUCUGGCGUCCUGUCUUGUUCCACCCCUCCGCCACAUCUGCUGUCAGGCCAGGCGGCUAGAAAUUGCCAGAAAUUGAUAGGUUAUUAAGUAAUUUUUUCGAUGCUAGUUUCGGCGAUUUCGACCACCAAUUUCUUCGAUCUAUGUAUGCUCUUUCAUCUUCUCAAUUUGUUCUAGCUGAUGGUCAGGUUGAAUUGGAUUGAUUUCUACGCUUUGGAUUUCAAUUUAUCGCUUAGAGUUUUGGCUGGUUUCGACUCGUGAUUCCAGCAAUUUUUGGUCAUUUUUGGCAUUGGCCCAGAGCAAAAGUCGCUCC